GACGACCGAUAGCGAACCCAGUAGGGCGACCGAACGGUGGGAAGAACCCCGAUCAGGGGAGGACACUGAACCUGAAACCCCGUGCCUACGAGCGGUGGGAGCGCAGUACCUUCGGGUCGCGUGACCGCGUGCCUUUUGCAUAAUGAUCCGGCGAGUUAUCGUGCCCGGCUCGGGUUAACCCCUUCAGGGGGGGAGCCGCAGGGAAACCGAGUCUGAAUAGGGCGACAUAUGUCGGGCGCGAUAGACGCGAAACCAGGUGACCUACCCAUGGGCAGGUUGAAGCGCCCGUAACAGGGCGUGAAGGACCGAACCCACUAAUGUUGAAAAAUUAGGGGAUGACCCGUGGGGAGGAGUCAAAGUCUCAUCAAACCUGGAGAUAGCUCGUUCUCUCCGAAAUGGCUUUAGGGCCAGCGUCGGACCAUACCCCGCGGGGGUAGAGCGACGGAAUUCGGUCGGGGGGCUUCCCGCCUACCCGCCGAAACCCAACUCCGAAUACCGCGGUGGCGUACUCCGGCAGUCAGAGCGCGGGGGAGAAGCUUCGUGCUCCAGAGGGAAAGAACCCAGACCGCCGACCAAGGCCCCCAAGACGACGCUCAGUGGCAAAGGAAGUGGGAUCGCGGUGACAGCCCGGAUGUUGGCUUAGAAGCAGCCACCAUUUCAAAAGUGCGUAACAGCUUACGGGUCGAGCCAUCCCGCGCCGAAAAUGACGGGGACUCAAGCGUCGCGCCGCAGUCGCGGAUCGAUUUAUCGAUGGUAGGAGAGCGUCGAUGCCUGCAGCGAAGCCGUACCGGCAAGGAACGGUGGAGCGGCAUCGAGUGCGUAUGCCGGAACGAGUAACGACAAGAUGGGUGGGAAGCCCAUCCGCCGAAAGCACAAGGUUUCCUGGGGAAGGUCAAUCCGCCCAGGGUCAGUCGGGACCUAAGGCGAGGCCCAAGGGCGUAGCCGAUGGGCAGACGGUUAAUAUUCCGUCACCCGGUGUGAAGGUUGAAGGGAGCAGGACGCCGAGGCACGUGGGAUCGGGGGGUUAGAUCACCCCGUCCCGCAAGGGCGACGACACUUCGAUUCGGAAGUCUCACAACCCUCGGCCACGAAAAGCCGUUCCCGGACGACACAUCGGCCCGUACCGCAAUCCGACACAGGUGUGCUAGGCGAGUAUCCGAAGGCGUUCGGGAGAACCCUCGUGAAGGAACUCGGCAAAUUGACCCCGUAACUUCGGGAUAAGGGGUGCUCUCGGGGCAACCCGAGAGCCGCAGAGAAUCGGCUCUAGCGACUGUUUAUCAAAAACACAGGACUCUGCCAACUCGCAAGAGGACGUAUAGAGUCUGACGCCUGCUCGGUGUCGGUAGGUUAAGGGAGCCGGUGAUCGCAAGAGAAGCUGGCGACCGAAGCCCCGAUAAACGGCGGCCGUAACUAUGACGGUCCUAAGGUAGCGAAGUUCCUUGUCGGGUAAGUUCCGACCUGCAUGAAUGGCGUAACGACUGGAGCGCUGUCUCCACGAGGGACCCGGUGAAACUGUAGCCGUGGUGAAGAUGCCACGUACCCGCGGUCAGACGGAAAGACCCCGUGAACCUUUACUGCAGGUUG
rnacentral:rRNA from 1 species